GCCUAAGAUGAGACAGGAGAGUCCCAGCUAGAAGAAGGAGUCAAAAAGACUGGGAACUCUAGCCUCGUCUGAUAGCAGAGAUGGGGGAAGGCUGCUCCUGUCACUAACAGGAGGGAAGGAGGCAGGGUGACGUUGUGUGAAGUGUGGCUUUCUGAGUCGGGCAGAACUGAGUUCCAACCCUGACUCUAUGUACUUACUCACUGUGUGACUUAGUAAGUCAAUUAACCUCUCUGACUCCAGUCUAUAAAAUGGGCACAAUGUCUACUCUGCAAGACUACUUACUAUAAAUUGUUGAGAACAGAACCUGAGUUCUCAGACCAGAACUGUUAAGUGCUCCUUGGAGCAAAAGAGGUGAGAUGCCCACAGCUCAGAAAGAUUCCCUGCAAGGACUUGAACCUACGAAGCAGGACCUCCCGAGAUCCUCUUGGUGA